ACUUUCAACAACGAUCUCUUGGUUCUGGCAUCGAUGAAGAACGCAGCAAAUGCGAUAAGUAAUGUGAAUUGCAGAAUUCAGUGAAUCAUCGAAUUUUGAACGCACAUUGCGCCGCCAGUAUUCUGGCGGCAUGCUGUUCGAGCGUCAUUUCAACCUCAAGCCCAGCUGGUUGGGAGCUGCAGUCCUGCUGCACUCCCAAAUACAUGGCGUCACGCGACUUCCAUAGCGUAGUAUUACAUAUCGUUAUGUAAUCGUCGCGGCACGCCGUUAAACCCAACUUCUGAAUGUUGACUCGGAUCAGGUAGAAUACCCGCUGAACUUAAGCAUAUCAUAAGCGGAGGAAAGAAACCAACAGGAUUGCCUAGUAACGCGAUGAAGCGGCAACAGCUCAAUUGAAAUCUGGCUUCGGGCCCGAUUGUAAUUGUAGAGGAUGAUUUUGAUGCGUGCCUUCCGAGUUCCUGAACGGACGCCAUAGAGGUGAGCCCGUCUGUUGGAUGCCAAUCUCUGUAAAUCUCCUUCGACGAGUCGAGUAGUUUGGGAAUGCUGCUCUAAAUGGAGUAUAUGUUCUAAAGCUAAAUACCGCCAGAGACGAUAGCGCACAAGUAGAGUGAUCGAAAGAUGAAAGCAUUUGAAAGAGAGUUAAAAGUACGUGAAAUUGUUGAAGGAAGCGUUUAUGACAGACUUGGCUUGGUUAAUCAUCUGGGUUCUCCAGUGCCUUUUCAGCCAGGCAGCAUCAGUUUCGCCGGGGAUAAAGACUUCGGAAUGGCCCCUCGGGAGUGUAUAGCCGUGUGUAUACCUGUGGGGAUGAGGUUCGCGCUCUGCAGAUGCUGGUAAUGGUCAUCAAGACCGUCUGAAACGACAAGAUCGUCUUCGUAUGCGAGUGUUCGGUGUCAACCUACGCGAUGAAGUGAACGCAGGUGAGAGCUCGGCGCAUCAUCGACGAUCUGAUGUUCUCGAUGAUUGAGUAAGCAUACGGGGACCGAAAGAAGUAACUAUGCUGUGUAGGGAAGCAGAGGAAAUCUGGUGAGGCUCGCAGCGGUUCUGACGUGCAAUCGAUCGUCAAAUGGCAUGGGCGAAAGACUAAUCGAACUUCUAGUAGUGGUUUCCGCGAGUUUCCUCAGGAUAGCAGUGUUGAACUCAUUUAUGAGUAAGCGAAUGAUUAGGAUCGGGCGCUAUUUACCUUCAUCCAUUCUCAACUUUAAUAUGUAAGAAGCUCUGUUGCUUAAUUGAACGUGAGCAUUCGAAUGUAUCAACACUAGUGGCCAUUUUGUAGCAGAACUGCGAUGCGGGAUGAACGAACGCGAGUUAAGGUGCCAGAGUAGACGCUCAUCAGACACCACAAAAGUGUUAGUACAUCUGACAGCAGGACGGUGGCCAUGGAAGUCGAAUCGCUAAGGACUGUGUACAACUCACUGCCGAAUGUACUAGCCUGAAAUGGAUGGCGCUCAAGCGUCUCACCAUACCUCGCUCAGGGAGAAACGAAGCCUGAGAGUAGGCGGACGUGGAGUCAGUGACGAAGCCUAGGGUGACCGGUUGAACGGCUCUAGUGCAGAUCUUGGUGGUAGUAGCAAAUAUUCAAUGGAACUGAAGGACGAGUGGGAAGUUCAUGUGAACAGGUUGGACAUGGUUAGUCAUCUAAGCUAUAGGAAUCGUUCAAGCGCACUUUGCGCGUCUAGCGAAAGGGAGCGUCAUAUCCGGCACUGGAUGGGUUUGCGCGGCAACGAACUGAACGUGGAGACGACGGGGGCCCAAGCAGAGUUCUUUUCUUCUUAACAUCUCUCACCUGAAUCGGUUUGUCCGAGCUAGGUUAAUGGCUGGAAGAGCCGGCACCUCUGCCGGUUUGGUGCGCUCUCGACGUCCCUUGAAAAUCCACGGAAGAAUAAUCUCACGCCAGGUCGUACUCAUAACGCAGCAGUCUCCAAGGUGAACAGCCUCUGUUGAUAGAACAAUGUAGAUAAGGAAGUCGGCAAAAUAGAUCCGUAACUUCGGGAAAGGAUGGCUCUAAGGGUUGGCACGUUGGCCUUGGCGGACGUCCUGGAGCAGGCCGCCACUAGUCGGGCAACCGACGGAGGCGCCAGCAUCCGGUGCUGAUGCCUUGCAGGCUUCGCCGUCCGCGUGCGGUAACAACAACUUAGAACUGGUACGGACAAGGGAAUCUGACUGUCUAAUUAAACAUAGCAUUGCGAUGGCCAGAAAGUGUUGACGCAAUGUGAUUCUGCCAGUGCUCUGAAUGUCAAAGUGAAGUAAUUCAACAAGCGCGGUAAACGGCGGAGUAACUAUGACUCUCUUAAGGUAGCCAAAUGCUCGUCAUCUAAUUAGUGACGCGCAUGAAUGGAUAACGAGAUCCACUGUCCUAUCUACUAUCUAGCGAAACACAGCCAAGGAACGGCUUGCAGAAUCAGCGGGAAGAAACCUGUUGAGCUGACUCUAGUUGACAUUGAAAAGACAUAGGAGGUAGAAUAGGUGGAGCUUCGCGCCGUGAAAUACCACUAUCCUAUUGUUUUUUACUUAUUCAAUGAAGCGGGCUGGAUUACGUCCAACUUCUGGUUUAAGUCCUCGCGGCCGACCCGGUUGAAGACAUUGUCAGGUGGGAGUUGCUGGGCGGCACAUCUGUUAACCAUAACGCAGGUGUCCUAAGGGGCUCAUGGAGAACAGAAAUCUCCAGUAGAACAAAAGGGUAAAAGUCCCUUGAUUUGAUUUCAGUGUGAAUACAAACCAUGAAAGUGGCCUAUCGAUCCUUUAGUCCCUCGACAUUGAGCUAGAGUGCCAGAAAAGUUACCACAGGAUAACUGCUUGUGGCGGCCAAGCGUUCAUAGCGACGUCGCUUUGAUCCUUCGAUGUCGGCUCUUCCUAUCAUACCGAAGCAGAAUUCGGUAAGCGUUGGAUUGUUCACCCACUAAUAGGAACGUGAGCUGGUUUAGACCGUCGUGAGACAGGUUAGUUUACCCUACUGAUGACCUCACCGCAAUGGUAAUUCAGCUUAGUACGAGAGAACCGCUGAUUCAGAUAAUUGGUUUUUGCGGCUGUCCGACCGGCAGUGCCGCGAAGCUACCAUCUGCUGGAUAAUGCUGAACGCCUCUAAGUCAGAAUCCAUGCCAGAACGCGGUGAUACCACCCGCACGUAUAGAUGGACAAGAAUAGCCUCGCUUAGCGUCUUAGCAGCGAUUCCUCCACGGCGCUCGAGCGCGUCGUGUAUUUCGCGUAUUGU
rnacentral:rRNA from 1 species